rnacentral:rRNA from 1 species
UCGGGAAUAUUGCGCAAUGGAGGAAACUCUGACGCAGUGACGCCGCGUGCAGGAAGAAGGUUUUCGGAUUGUAAACUGCUUUAGAUAGGGAAGAAAAAAAUGACAGUACCUAUAGAAUAAGCUCCGGCUAACUACGUGCCAGCAGCCGCGGUAAUACGUAGGGAGCAAGCGUUAUCCGGAUUUAUUGGGUGUAAAGGGUGCGUAGAUGGAUAAACAAGUUGUUUGUGAAAUACCUCGGCUCAACUGAGGAACUGCAAGCAAAACUGUAUAUCUUGAGUACUGGAGGGGAAAGCGGAAUUCCUAGUGUAGCGGUGAAAUGCGUAGAUAUUAGGAAGAACACCGGUGGCGAAGGCGGCUUUCUGGACAGAAACUGACAUUGAGGCACGAAAGUGUGGGGAGCAAACAGG